rfam:Glycine max cultivar Williams 82 chromosome 8, whole genome shotgun sequence.
AUACCUUUCUUGGCUUUUUGAUUAAGAUCAAGUGUAAGUGUAGGACCUGUUCUUAUCAGUUCAAUAUCUGUGCGUGAUUGGUUCACACGAUAUUAAAUUAGUUUUUUGAGGGAAAGAGUCACUACAGUAGCUUGCUACUGGGGCUCUCACGUGCCCCCCAUGUGUUGCACUACUGCACGGGCCUGACGUACCCAAC